AGGGUGGGGAUCAAACCUGUUUCAUUCCUGCAAGAAAUAGAUGUCAUCCUCGAAUCCCAUAGUUUGACUUCAAUAAAGGGGCUGUUUAUAAGGGCGUGGACAGGUUUAGGAAGGGAAUCAUUAAGGGAUGGUGCAGCACCUCAGGGCUAGCAGCAUUAGGAAGCUGUUACCCACCUAGUGACUGAAGGGCAGAGGAAGUGAGUCGUGCUGGAACUCAGGGAGCAGCGAGGAGGAGGCUACCAGGCAGGAGCUGGGGUCUUGAGUGGAGCCAACCUAAAGCAACUUGGCAAAUACCGUGACCUCCCUUUCCUCCUACCUUCUGACCUAUUGGCUGAACCCAACUAGAAGCUAUCGGGGAGGGGAGUCUGUUGGUGCAGAGCAGGGUGAAGAAGGGAGCAAGUGGAGGGAGGGCAUUCUGUGACCUCUCUCUAAGUUGGUUGUAUUUUUCUGAAUUAUUCAAUGAUGGUUAUGUCCUUCGAAAGUGUGUAGUCUAGGUGUGGUCUGCUUGGCAUGGAGCAGCAGGAUUCUCUCCCUGUAACCUCUCUUAAUACAGUCUGAGAUCCUGAUAUAUUUUUUGAAGAUAUGUCACGGUGUCUCUUUGCUGUCAAGUGAAUUCCCUACAGACUCCCCUGGGCUGCUGAGUUUGUAAAUUAAAUUUUCCAAGGUAUGGGUCUGCUUUGGACACUGUCUUGCAGGUGACUAUGGGAUUUGAUCUAAACCUAGAUCAAAUGGCAAAUACCAAGCCAAACAUGCUUCCAUGGCAGACACUACUCCUUCAUAAUCAGUACCUCCGAAUCCUUAACACAGUGCCUUAGUCAGUUACUACCAAGCUGUUGGAGGUGGCAUAUGAAAUAAAACCAAUCUGACAUUUUGUUUUAGAUGUUCUUUGUAUUCGGGAAAUAAAUGUGCUUGUGUAAGGCAGCAGAGGGGCUUCUGCCUCGGUUUCUGUGCUGGAGGACAGCUUAUUUGUUGGAUCCAGACUUUAAACGGGGUGGAUUUUAUAAUCAAACUUUCGGUUUCUGGUUUGUACCCUAAUUCCCCUCACUUGGCUAAUCCCUAUUCAUUACUUAGAUCAUGCUUUACUUCUAAAUGUUCUUCUGUCCAUAUUAUAAAAAGUAAAAAGAAACAGUGACAUUAAUUUUUGAUAAUACAUUUUACUUAACCCAAUAUACCCUAAAUCUUAUCAUUUCAUGUAAUCGAUCUAAAAUUACAAAUUAGGUAUUUUGCAUUCUUUCUUUUGUAUUUCGAAGUCCUUGAAAUUCAGCGUGCAUUUUACACUUGAAGCUCAUUUCAACUUGCAAGAGCCUUACUUCAAGCACUCAAUAGCUACAUGUGGUUAGCAUUAUCAACUCGAAUAGCACAAGUUUACGUCUUAGGAAAACCCCACAUACUCAGGGAUGGCCCCGAGGCUGGACAUAUUUGCUAUCACCUUGAGCUCUCUUUACCGUAUUUUAUUGUUAUUGAUAGCUUAAUAUUUCUCUUCCCCUCUAGUUAAUAAAUUUCAUUAGGGCUGGGAGCAAACAUACUAUUUUUGUGCACAUCUCUAUCAAAUUUGCCUGGCACAUAGUAGGGGCUCAAUAAAUAUGUGUUGAAUGAACGAAUUAAUAGGGCCCUCUGUUCUCCAGGGACCCUCCCCUCCCACGCACACAUAUAUUACCUUUUAUACUUCUACCCCUGUCCCUGCUUCAGUUUCUCAGAUCCCAGCAUAUCUUCAGGCCUCCCAGCCAUGGUGUCAGGACAGGUUUUAGCUGGCCUUGUCCUAAGGCACCUGACAGCUGGAUCACUAGAAAGCAGCCCAGUCAGGGGCCUAAUGGACUUGAGCAGGACCAUGAGGGAGCCGGCACUGUGCAGGGGGCAGGCAGAGCUGCCUAGAAUGAAGGAUGUUCCUGCCUGCUGGCCCAGGGAGGCGCCACGCACAUCCUUCCCACCGAUCGGUGCCAGCAAACGUUCCAGGGACACUGCUAAAUGUCUGCUGUAAAUCACGCUUAAAGGGCCAUCAAGAGCAGCUUUUGGCUGUGAGCAUCUUUGCCAUUAUUCUUUACUAGGCCCUUUUAACGUAACCAGGAACAGGGCAAUAUUUUGUUCAACUGUAGCUAUUGGAAAGAAGCUAGGUGGAGUUUAAUGGCUGAGAUCGAGACGGCAGGCUUAUCCUGGGAGAGAUCUGGGGCCAGCUGCAGCCAGCUCAGGAACCUUUUGGGGCAGGAUGAGUUCUGGAGUGGUUCCUGUGCUGGCUCAAAGGGGUUGGGCCCUGUAACCUGUGAGGACGCAGGUGGGCAUUCCACCUCCUCUACAAACCAUCUCCAAGCUCUUUAGGCAGGGUGAAGGGUUGGCUACUUCCAGAGGCCUCUGUUGACCUCUGGGUCCCGAGUAAGCAGGGGCCAAGAGUGGGAGGCUCACAACAGAGGCACAUCGGGGCCAGGCAAACUUCAGUCCCCAAGUCACAUGCCCUCUAAGCUUUAACAGGAACAGCUUUUCCUUAGUCCCCAUAGUCCCCACAGUCCCUGAUCCACACCCUCCAGGGACCCUCUAGUCCUGGCUUCCCUCAUCCUCAAACUAUCUAUGCAGUGUAAAAGCCCCCGUUGAACUGUUUUCAAAAAAGCAAUGGCUCACAGUCCAUAUCUUGAGGGAGCUGCCCUUGUCCAUCAAGUAUCUGAACCAGUGAAGUAGCAGCCAAGAGUGCAUGUGCACCGCUAGCCAGUGAAUUUUCCUCACACACCUGGGGCUCCUUGGUAACCCUCGGGCAGGGCUGACGCUCAAGGAAUUUGAUCAACUCAAGGAGGGCACGAUUCACAUCACGGUCUCUGUAAACGGCACUUCCUGGCUAUGUGCAGUGCACAGCCUUUGCAACCACACACGACAACCCAGUCCUCAACCUCCAGCAGGUCUCUGCUCUGGCAUGUUGUUGAAUAUAGGGGUGGAGUCAGGUUAUGUGCUUCCCAGAUGUGCUGAUGGGUUAGGCUCUUUUGAUAACAAGAGGCCACUGCUGUCACUGGUGUGGGGCUGACACUCUCUUCUCUCUACUUUAGAAUUCUAGACCAGAGAUUGGCAGACGAUCGAGUUUUACUGGACUGCAGCCACACCAAUCUAUUUAUGUAUUGUCUAUGACUGCCUUGAAAUGGCAGAGUUGAGGAGAAGAGAUCGUGUAGCCUUCAAAGCCAAAAUUAUUUACUAUCUGCCAUUUGAAGAAACGGCUUUCCAUACCCUCCCUAUUUUAGACUGUCAUGAAGGGAAAGGAGAUGACUUCUAAAUAUUCACCUGUUGGCAUCUUUGGAGACCCCAGGGGGUUUUUAGCAACUGCUUUUAUCAAGCAAGCCCAGAUAUAUCUACCUCUUUUCUUGCUGUCACUGACUUAGUAGAAUUAAAAGUAUCCAAUUGUCUUUGUUUUGUACUGUAGCUGACAUCUGAUUCAAGGAUGUGUCAUCCUAGUGCCCAGCCCUGGGUAUGACAGCCAGUGUUCAAGAACUCAUUCUGCAAAAGUUCGUUCUACCUCAGGUACUUCCUGGAGGUCAGGUCACCAGCCAAAUGCCAAGGCUCGCACGUAUCAAGGUGGAGAAGGAGGUCAUUUUCACACCGUUGAUGUUGAUCUAUGCUGAGUAGAGCUGAAUUUGUCACACGUCUUUGGACAUUGGAUACUGGACUGCUGACCUUCUCACUUGGGGGCCAAGGCUACAGCCAGGGCAGGUCAGAGAUCCCUGGGGCCCGGAGUAGAGCUGCCAGUCAGGCCUUGCACAAGCCUCUUUCUUCAAAGAAAGACCCAAUUCGAGUCAUCUGUCAACAAAUGGUCAUGUAGAUUUAGGCAUUUUGGUAUCUCAACAAUCUCUUCAGCAUCUCAACAAUGUCAUGUCUCUGGGCUGGCCUCCCUAUGACUCUCCUGGCAUUCUCCUCAUGGUCACAAAAUAGCUGCCAUAGCUCUAAGCAUUACAUCCUCACACCACAUAUGGAGGCAGGAAACAGGAAGCAGUAUCAGAACAAUUUCUUAUCAAGUGCCUCCUCCUCAUAAGGUGACAGUUUGCAAACACAAGUGUGAACGUCUUCCUACCUCACUUGUUGGCGGCCCCAUCACAGAGUGGCAGGGUGGUGCAAGCAGACAGAUCUGGUGUGAAUGACUUGUUCCAGCAGGGAAGGAUGCAACCUGAAUUUCUCCUGAGGAACACCAGCCGACAUCUGUCAUCAGCCUGCUGCGUUGCUCUCUGUGAUGUGGGUCCCAUAAUCCCAGAUGGAGAAUAUGAUUGGUCCAACCUGGAAAACCUGGUCCAAUCAGCGAUGGCCAAAGGGAGAUGAGUUCGCACACCACCAGGCCUGUGGAUGGAGCAUGUUAUCUAAGCAUGGGAAAUGAUCUGGUAGAAAUACUCGACCUCUCACUUACAGAAAGACUUUCAGGUUGGCGUCCAAGUUAUCUUUGAUGGAUCUCACCCACAUUAGGCUUUGUUCUCAGAAAAGCUGCACAGCUUACAAGACUGAACAGGCUCUGAGGUCUGCAUCCUAGAUGCUGAGCACGAUUCUGACCACUGCCAUGUUCAACCUGACUCACCUGGGCAGAGAAUUCUGGGUCUCGGUGCCAGGUAUGGGAACAUGUCCAGCUGCAGAUGGAUCUCUGCUGAUGGGUGGCUGUACUGAAAAGGACAUAGAGUCUCUGUUUUUACAACGGCCCCUUUUCAAUGAAAUGAGAUGAGUGGCAAAGGUAUCUCAGGGCCAAUGGCAGCAAUAGGCACUGAAUGUGACAAUAGCUGUCCAAGUUUCCCAACGUUUGAGGUCAAAGCUUUGAAUAUAAACUCAGCAGUGUGAUAAGAGCAGAACACAGAAAGGAGCUUAUUAUCUGCUCAUUUACCCAGCAUUGAUGGAAGAUGGUCCACCACUGACUCAGUGCCAGACGUACAGAAUCGUAGAGAAGUCCAUGACGAUGGUCUUGCCCACAGCCCACAGGGUCCCCCUUCUUGAAGAGUUGAGUAGCAUUUCACAUAUUUAGGUGCACAGAAGUGAGUGAAAACAAGUUAUCCUGGUGAACCAGAGCUAGCUGGCUCAAGCCAGGACUCGUAGCAACGUUGUAUAGACCAGGUGCAGAGCAAACACUCAGGGUUCCAAGGGCUGAGGGCCGUGGGAGGCCUGGCCAGAGGGUUCCAUCUCAAGCAGUCUGGGCCUGACUCCUCGUUUUACUCCAUCCACUUCCUCCUCUGUAGCUGAGAAGAGGCGGGUUUCCUUGGUCUUUGUAACUCCCCUGAUGUGCUACUAGCUAACAGGCUGGGCUGUAUUUCAGAAGAGUUGCUACAAGGGAAACCUAGCUUAUAAGUCAAGCACUUUAGUUCUCCAGGCGUGAAAAACAACACUCUUUAUCUCUGACCAUGUCUGGCUUUGUGAGCUGUGUCUAACGGCCACAGGAGGAAAUACACCAUGGCACUGUCAGAGUGGCGUCCCAUUCCUGUUAGCUGGAGGCACCCCGUCCUAAUGUGGGCUGAAGGCUGGAGUCAGCCUUGGCCUGCGAUAUGUUUGCUUUGAAACAAAUGUCUUUUUAAAAAAAUCAUUCGAUAUUACACAAAGCAAAACAAAACACACAUAAAAAAAAUGAAAACAAAAAUCCUUACUGGAUUUUGGGAGCACUAAAUCAAAUACUGCAUGGGAAGAAUUUAGCACAGUGCUCAGUCCACAGUAAAGGUUCAACAAAUAUU